rnacentral:lncRNA from 1 species
GCUUGUGGGUGGACUGGUGUUGAUGUUAUCAUCUUAAUCCCCCAACUGUCACAAAAGUUAGUAGUCCUGCUCCCAAUAAAUUGGGAACCAUUAUCACAUACAAUUUCAGAAGGAAUGCCAAAUCUAGUUAUAAUGUUUCUCUUAAUAAAGGAUAUAACUUCCUUCUCUCUGACUUGGGCAAAAGCUUCAGCCUCUAUCCACUUGGAGAAGUAGUCAGUCAUAGCAAGCAUGAAUACUUUUCCACCAGGUGCUUUAGGGAGCUUGCCAACUAUAUCCAUUCCCCAUCUCAUGAAUGGCCAAGAGGAUGGUAUGGGGUGUAGUAAUUCAGCUGGUUGGUGAAGGAUAUUGCUAUGUCUUUGGCAAGGAUCACACCU